UACAGAGGGUGCGAGCGUUAAUCGGAAUUACUGGGCGUAAAGCGCACGUAGGCGGAUAUUUAAGUCGAUUGUGAAAGCCCCGGGCUUAACCUGGGAACUGCAGUCGAUACUGAAUAUCUAGAGUAUGGUAGAGGAAAGUGGAAUUCCCGGUGUAGCGGUGAAAUGCGUAGAUAUCAGGAAGAACACCAAUGGCGAAAGCAGCUUUCUGGGACGGUACUGACGCUGAGACGCGAAAGCGUGGGGAGCGAACAGG
rnacentral:rRNA from 1 species